UACGGAGGAUCCGAGCGUUAUCCGGAUUUAUUGGGUUUAAAGGGAGCGUAGGUGGAUUGUUAAGUCAGUUGUGAAAGUUAGCGGCUCAACCGUAAAAUUGCAGUUGAAACUGCCAGUCUUGAGUACAGUAGAGGUGGGCGGAAUUCGUGGUGUAGCGGUGAAAUGCUUAGAUAUCACGAAGAACUCCGAUUGCGAAGGCAGCUCACUGGACUGCAACUGACACUGAGGCUCGAAAGUGUGGGUAUCAAACAGG
rnacentral:rRNA from 1 species